AUGGGAUACCCUGGAAGACAUGGAGAAAAGGGUGACCCAGGCUUAUCUGGUGCAGUGGGACCACCAGGGCUCCCUGGGACUCCUGGUUCUGCUGGACAGCAUGGGGAAAAAGGAGAGAGGGGUGAUCCAGGAAGAGUUAGAAUAAAAGGAUUAAAAGGUGAAAGAGGACCUGCUGGGCUUCCAGGAUUUCCAGGCCAAAGAGGUCUUGAUGGCAGAGAUGGGGAAUUAGGAUUACCAGGGGAAAAAGGAGCUGAGGUAUGUUUGACUUCCCCAGAUUUUUUCCAUUUCAAUUAACAUAUUAUCUUAUGAAAGGUUAUGAAAGUUUUUAUCCAUUAAAAAAUUAGCUUCUUGUAAGUAUUACUGUUUAUUUUGGCAUUCCUGAAUAUAAUCUCUCCAUAUACUAUGUGCCAAUAUAAAGGGGUCAGGAAACAAAAAAUACACAAACCCCUUUGUUCCUAUUGCCUUUGAAUAUUUAAAAAUACUAAUGUCAUCCAUGUAGUCUUUCUAUUGUGAAAGUGUUUCUCCAAAUAAUUCUCUAACAUGCUUUUUCAUGAUCAGAGAGAGGAGAGAAAUUAUCUCUUGUUACUUCUUACCAAGAAUUUUUAAUUUCAGGGUGAUUCUGGAGUAGCAAUUCCGGGUGAGAAAGGAUUCCCUGGGCUCCCAGGACCUCCUGGGGUAAAAGGCCAGAUGGGAUUGCCUGGUUUGGGGCUUCCUGGGCCUCCAGGAGCCAGAGGUAGCCCCGGAGACCUUGGUGAUACGGGUGAUAUUGGGCCACCUGGUCCAAAAGGCCAGAAAGGUAAUUUUGAAUGUCUAAGUUAAGAAUGAAAUAACAAAAUAUGUUUGGAUGUUUGGUGGCAUCCAUUAUGGU
rnacentral:lncRNA from 1 species